rnacentral:rRNA from 1 species
UACAAAGGGGGCAAGCGUUGUUCGGAAUUACUGGGCGUAAAGCGCGCGUAGGCGGACCUGCAAGUCGGGGGUGAAAGCCCGAGGCUCAACCUCGGAACUGCCUUCGAUACUGCGGGUCUCGAGUCCGGGAGAGGUGAGUGGAAUUCCUAGUGUAGUGGUGAAAUGCGUAGAGAUCCGGAGGAACACCAGUGGCAAAGGCGACACGCUGGGCCAUACCUGACGCUAAAGCGCGACAGCAUGGGGAGCAAACGGG